rnacentral:tRNA from 1 species
ACUCGGAUAGCUCAGAAGGAAGAGCAGUUGACUUGUAAUCAAAAGGUCCUGGGUUCGAGUCCCGGUCCGAGCU